AGAGUGUCUAGUGAUCAGGAUGGGUGCAUAGAGGAGGGAUAGUAUUCAAAGAGUUAAGAAAGGAGAGGAGAAAAAAAAAAAGAAAGGAGAGGAAUUCAGGAGGGGAUAGUAGUUCCAGCAAGAGAGCAGUGUACAAGACAUAUGUAGGGAGAAAAGAGAAGGUCUGAGUGGAGAGGAACAUUUGCAUGAAGAUGGUUAGCAUUACAUCGUUUUGAACCUUGAAAGUCGGAAAUGAAUAAAGCUUCAGAGGAGGAACUGGUUUAGAUGGAAGCUUUAUUUUAAGGAGAUUAAUCUGGCAGUGAUGUGUGGCAAGAACUGAAGAGGCUGAAACAAGAGGCAGAGAACCCAAUUAAAACUGAGUCUGGUGCACUGAUCCAGGACUGAGAUAAUAAAAUACUCCAAACCAGAGUAUCAUCAGAUAAUGGAUGUUUGAGCGAACAGUUUAAAGGAAAAUUGGCAUUAUUCAAUUUAUUUAUUAGAUAGCCAAGGGCCAGGGAAUUGGAGGAUAAAAUGAUUAGCAAUAGCCAUCAAAUAGUUUAUCUAAAGGGAAUGAAUCUGAAUUUUUGUAUAAGAGUAGUAUUUUUGUAUAAGAGCAUUUUCGUGGAUGUUGGGUAAUUGGUAUAAUUGCCUAUGCUAAUGACAGCCAUUGUGCUUUGUUCCUUUUUAAUCAGCUCUGAGCUUCUCUGUGAGCAAACAGCCUCCUGGAAGGAGCCAUGCCUUCUCACUGGUCUCCAGUGUCUGGCACAUAGAGUUUCCCACCUUGCCCUAAUUUCAUAGAUGAAAUCACAUGUGUCGAACCGACUUUGCAAUUUAGCUCUGAAGUCCAGAAUGGCUACACAGGAGAGCACCAGGCCUUUUUAUAUACUUGUUCCCUGAUGUGUUAAAUCACCCGGAAAGCUGGAGGAAAAUGCUCCCCUGCCUGAGCAAGUUCAAGAAGGGUGCCAUCUGAAGGAUAUUCCAACAUUUUACAGUUGAAAGGAUGUGGAAAAUCUCAGAGUAUUAAUAAUAACUAUCAUUAUCUUUUUAUUUUUAAGCUCAGACGCAGGAAGUUGAGUUAAUUACACUCCUCAGUUCGUGGCACAUUUACGCUGUUAUGUUUUCCAGUCCCUUCUCUGCUUUCAUGUAUUUAUUCCUCAUUUCUGUUCUCUCCCUGACUGCUCCCCUUGCACCCUGUCCCCCCCAUAGGUAACUGUUCUAAUGCAUGUGUAUUUCAUUAUUCGCAUGUAUUCUUAUGAAUUGUAUAAACACGUAUGAUCAACCUACAUAACAGUGUUGUGUUAUAUAUCAUUCUUUUUCUUUAUUCAAUCAACUAGGUUUUUAAGAUUUUUAAGAUUUAUCCUUGUUGCUCUGUGUAUUUCUAUAAUCUAUUGAUUC
rnacentral:lncRNA from 1 species